GGUCGCCGCCCCAGCUCACCCUAAUGGUGGAUCCUCCAUUGUUUAUAGGGCUUGGUGACGCUGAUGUUUUGUUAUUUUAACCGAUACUCACAUGGAUUUCUAUGAUGCUUCGGGGAAAUAUAUCAAAAGAACAUAUUCCCCUUGCGCAUGAGUCGGAUUAAACUGAACUUCGAAAGAUGCCACCUGCGUUUCAUGGUUGGAUAAAAAAGAUGCUAGGCUCAUCUUCUUCAUGGUUCUUCAUGGAGAAAUAUAUGUUACUUCAGCUGUUCAACAAAAGUUCCCGUUUUAUUGUCUUGUCUUGCUAAUUAUUUUGCAUGUUUGCGUUUCAAGUAUGAAACCUAUGUGGCUUGCAUCGACAAAAAGGUAAGCAUGCUUUGUAUGAGAUUUUUCAGACUCCAAGUCAACUUGAGUCAUCACUGAAACAACAUGUUCUGCCUCUACAUAGAUUUCAGAAGAGCACUGCCAUCUGUUGAUCAAAGGAGAAUGAAAAGAAAUGUUUAGCCGACCUUGUUCUAUUUCCUAUGUCUUUAUUUUCGAAUUUGGCUUUAUCUCCGAGCUGGAUUUAUAUAUGUUGCUGAAGUGAAAGUUAAUUUUUCUUUCAGUUCCCAGAACAAAAUAUCACGCCAGAGAGAAAAUGGAAGUUGCAAAACAUAUUGGGUGCCCAAGGCAAAGCCUGUAGUAGCGAACCAAAGGGAAGUGACGAUGCUGUUUGAAGGAAUUGCCUCUUGGCGGUGAGCUCCUUAUACAUCUGAACCACCGGCACGCGCGCACACGCACACCUGUGCAUCCUGCAAUGACCUGAAUGAUAAGCAGUACACCGGUGAUUUUCCCAAGGCAGAAGAAACAACUUUUGGCUUCUUGAUUGAUGUUGUCCAGAUCAGCGAACCUCAGUUUCAACAUCACGCAUACAAGUAAAAAGAGAUGAAAUGUUGAUCGGUCUGUGGUGAACCAAUGAUAAUUGCAACUUAAGGGCAGCAAUUCUGUUCAUUAAGAGUCAGGAGAGCAAUUCUCACGCUGAAGAACUAAGGGUCUCGGUUCUGGCCACAAGUUGAGGCUGGAAGCAUGCUGUUCAAAAAUGUAGAAGAUCUAUAUAAUCUCCAGGAUGAAAAAAAAAUGCGUGUGUGUGAUCUAUGACCAAAUGCAAAGGGGUGAUAUGUUUUUUUUUUCAUUUU